ensembl:lncRNA
CAAUGUCUGCUUUUGUGACAGCGACAUUGCCAGUGGUGUAAAAAUCUAUGCAUCUGUCAGGUUUCCCCAUGUGAAACAUAAUUGCUUAAUUUCCAUUUGAAAGUACAUCCCUGACAUUAGAACAACGUAGACGCACCAAGGAUAACAAUGAUUUCCUGACACCUAGAAUGGGGCAUAAUGCGGUAAUAAAUAAGUGUGCAGAAUGAAUGCUCUGCACACAGAGGGAGCAGGUCUGAAUUUACAGCUGCAGAUGAAGUGUUCCUCAGGAAAAAAAAAAUAAAAAAAAAAAGAAAGAAAAAACCAACAGAUUAGCAUCAGUGUGAGUCUAUGUCAACCAGAUGGCUUGCUGUGGAAAAAGAGCUUCCCUGCUUUAUUCCAGUAACCCUGGCUAGCAGGCUGAAUGUCUGAGAUGAGAAGAGAAAAAUGAUCUCAUUCAGGACUUUUUUUUCCCUUUGCAUACAUGCAGCUUGAGCUGAAGAAGAGAAAAGCUCUGAAAAGAGCACAGAAGUUGUCCCUUAGUGGUGGCGUGUGAGACGUGGUGGACCACAGAGAGCUCAUGGACAUGGGUUCAAAAAUGCAGAAAGCACAGCAUGAAAGCAGUGCGUCACAGCCAUUCUCAAUGUACAGCGCAUGAAGAUGGGCACCCACUGCCCGUCUCAAGUCAUCCUCACACUUGCUUCCUCUUGACCACACAGAAGUGAUUUUGAUGAAGAGGAACAUGGACAUCCAGAGCAUAUGUCUAUUCUCUCAAAACAUGCCAACACGAUCCCUUCAGUUUGAAACGGAUGGAUCAAAGCUUUGAAGUCCAUUUGUACUAAUGGAUCCGGAUCCAGCUUGUAGAUACCUGACCUCAUACUACAUGUUUUUUUAUUAAAUAGUCUCUUGGUGAAUGUCAUACUAGCAAACCAAAGUUUGGAGGCUCUUUCCUCAUUGAAAAGGCAGCUGCUGUGUCACAGUGUUAUAUCCCAUCAUCUUUGUAUUAGCAGCCAAAGUGAAAGGCUCUAGACUGUAUUAAAAAAAAAAAAAAGUAAUAAAGCUUCAUCUUUUUUCAUUUUGGGACUCAAAGCAAAAGCUCCGAACAUUCUGUUUACCAUUUUUAUUACACAAUAUUGGCAUUCUUAAAGUCUGGAAUGAAACCUUUUUUCGUUUUUUUUUUUUUAUUCAUUAAAGUGCUCAGUAUCAAUGGACUGUUUCUUACUUUCCAUGUAUUACGACAAAACAUUAAGCUGAGGAUAUCUGUUGCCAUUGUUAAAGCACUGCGUUCUUGUGUGACUGGAAAUCCACUCUCUUCAUUGCUCCCUUUUGUACGCCCUCCAUGAAGCCAACUGGCUUCAGCUGUUGACAGAUAACAAGUGAGAACAAGAAGAGGUGUUAAAAAAAACUGCCAGGAAAGUCUCCAAGCAGUGCUCAGUGUGAGCAGACCUCUCUCGUUAGCCACCCCAGGAGAAAGCUCUGGCCGAAGCAACACGCCUCCGUCUCAGAUGCCUGUGCUGUCCUGUGAGACUCCUCGUUCUUCUGGGCUCCGCUGGUCUGUUGAGUCCAGCUCUGUCUGAUAGAGCUGCUGCUUUGCUUCUGAUUCCUGUUGUUGCCUGCCGCAUUGUGAGUUCUACACACCACGCAGCAAAAGAAGCAAUGACAAAUCUGAGAGCUGUGGAGUGAAACUGUGCUAGAAUUUGCUAAUGGGAGAUGGAGGAAGACGAGCAUAGUGAAACAUGGCCAGGCCCAGAGAAUGCAUGUGAGGUGGCUUGAAGAAAUGUAUCAGACCGAGGGAAUAAGAAGGUGAAAUCCUGAGAAUUAUGUCCCAGCUGUGACAUGGCAGACCAGAGGUGAUGCUUUAGAAGCACAGGGUGUAUGCAUUCUUAUAUUCCUUUGCCCUCUUUGUAUCUGAACUGACCCAUCUGCUUCCACUCCCCCAGGAAGCCAACAGCAGUUUCAAAACAUCCCUAGGAGAUUCCAGGAGUGUAGAACAAAGGACAUACUCAAAAACUCAGUGAAGGUCACUUGUGAUUUUGAAGCAAGACUGCUGUAGGUAAAUGGCUCUUGGAGAGGCAGGUAAUUCGGCAUCAGCAGGACUGGUUGCCCAUGCAGCUUGGGAGCUGAUGGCUUGUUCUAUGCAAAGUAAAUGAGCCUCAUACUAAUUUGUCAUCAGCCCAUAAAAAUGUGAACUCUACUGUGACCAAACCAGAUUAGUGCUGUACUCAAUGGCAGCAGUGCUCAGAGCAAAUAAGGCCAAAUCAGGUCAUAAAACCCUUUAACUUGUUUUAAAGUGUCCCUCGUAGUGCAUUGGAUGAAAUCUGGCUUUCAACAUGGUUUUGCUACUGUCACAACCCAGCAAAGAUGCCCUUUAGCUACAGUUGGAUUUAACGCUGACAUCAAUCUCUGUUGACAGAUCCCAUUGCUGCUGUGUGGGUCCAUCAGGCUCAGCAUAGCUUUUCACUGGCAUCAGCAAUCAUGAGAUUUGCCCCAGGAAUGUCCAGGAACCAGCUGCACACCCAAGUCAACAAAGCCACUGCUUCUGCCAGCGCUAAACAGAGGUACAGGAAGGUGUAAAUCCUGAGCCUAAGUGUUCAAAGGGGUUGCCUCAACUACUCCACAAACCUAUAGGCAUCCACAGAAAAAUCACCUUUGUGUGCCUGAGCAACUUGUCUACACCAUCUCUGUAUGUUGCUUUCCUCUCCUGUCAGUUCUGCCAGUUAUAUUGAGUGUAAAAGCCUGGUUCCAGUUAUCUGUCCCACAUUUAGCAACCAUGCUCUCAUUGCUCUUGAGCUGCAGCAGAGAGGAUGGGACCAAGUUGGUCGAAGAAUCUCUAGCUCCUCUGUAGCUCAGCACUCUCUAGGUAAAAUACUGAACAAAAAAAGAAGGGGAGCCUGCCAGUGAAGAAGUCCAAACAGAGAAGGCAGUGGAUAUUCUACUCUUUCCAAGUCAUUACUUCACUCAGCACAGCCUGUUAUUUGGAGGGCCCAUGGAAAGCUGUCCAGGCAGGGAAGCAUGCUGUUGCUGAGAGGUCUGCCUCUAUCCGUCAGUAAUGGGUGCUUGUGUGAGCAGAGCAUUUGCAAGGAAUUUUACAAGGUGAGUGGUAGGGGAAUCUGAAUUUUGGGUGGUGGAUGGAAAUACUAAGUAAUGUGAGAAUAAUUCUGUUCAUGUGACCUAUGUCUGUGGGUGGCAGCAUUUGCACCUCCAUUACGGCUUCCCUUGACGUGUUAGAUGUGCUCAGUUGUGCCCCUGGAGCACCAACACGCUGAUUUGUGUGUUGAACUGACUGAUCAUAUGAACACCCCUCAGUGAAACCUUCAAAAUAGCCUGUUUUAGGUAAUAUAAAAAUAUCCUUUGUCGAAUGACUGCUUUAGGCAGAAGUGAUGGGAAAGAAUACAUUCAAGUUGGCUUGUUCUAUUUGAUACUCCUUUUUUCCUACCUAAAAGCUGUUGGGAAGAGUGUGACUCUCCAUCAGUGGAGCUCUGUUGGCAGUUUCAAUAGAUGUAAGUUGUAAAACGAGCUGCACUUUGGCAUUUUAUCACCAACAGCCCAAACCAGCAGCAGUCCAGGAUGGAUCCCAGCUCUGAAUCACAAGCAUGAAUCGAAAAGAAAACAUGAUACAUCACUUAGCUUCUCACUGUUGCUACCUGCAAUAUUAGCAGUGCUUCCUGAACCACUAUGCCAUAUAAAACCUUGAACAGGAUCUUCCCACACCCCAUUCCACGGCACUCAUGCACUUUCUUGCAGAAAUAAGGACUAAGCUGAAAGGGAGUGCAUUGUUUGUAAGGAGAAGAAGAGGAUGAAGAUGUGUAGCAGUAUGGCUACUUUCCCUCUUGUGACCUCCCAUCUUAUGAUCCUCACUCUGGUGAUGGUAAUUUACAGGAGAGAAGAGUACACCCCCUUGUAUCACAGCAAGCAUCACUUUGGACAUCUCUGCACUAGGUUUUCUCUUCUCAUUGCACAGCAUUUUGAAGUCAAUUCUCCACAUGUACAAUUAGUGCUAGGCCUUUAUACUUGGUCAGCAAAGAGUUACAAAAUUAAAUAUUUUCAACAAACCAGCUAAUGUAUGCCCUUGUGUAAGCAGCUCUUGCAAGAGAAGAACAAGUUCAAAAUAAAUCAUUACAUCAAUUACUUUGUGUCUGUGCACAAGUUACUAAUUAUCUCUGAAUAUAAACACCAAUAAAGAUAGAGACUAUUUCUAAGUAUUUACUCUGUAAAUUGUCAGUGACCUGACUACUUGGCUACUACAUUAAAUGAUUGUUUCUCUGUGUUAAUGUAUUCCAGGCUGCAAAGUCCUGCCUGCUCUAAAAUUAAAGAUCUGAAUUCAGCAGAGCAAAUGGAUAUUACCUUGACUUGAAAGUGUUGAAAUUUCUGGAACUUGCGGUCUUGCUUGUAGUAUCUACUGAUGGAUGACAUAUAUUUCAAAGCAAAAAUUCACUCAUCCCUACCUGAAUGGGCUCCUCGGUCACGGGGAUCAUGACCUCUUAGGAGGUAAGUCCCACACCAAGUCCAACUGGCUAAUCUUGGUGCAUGGUUAGCAAUGGGGACGGUGACUCAAUAUUUACAUCCUGUUUCUCCAACUUGAUGGAAAGAAAUUCUAACAAAAAAAUAAAAUAAUAAAAUAAAAUAAAAUAAAAUAAAAUAAAAUAAAAUAAAAUAAAAUAAAAUACUUGAUCCCUUUGACCCACUGAGGUCAAUGGAAAAACUCCCAUAGAUGUGAUAUGGACUCAGAUAAAGACUUAGUCUCCAUUUCCAUUGAUGGUAUGGAUGUUCAGCCACUGAAAUGAUAAAAAGAGACACAUAUGCUGAAUUAGAAAAAUUCUCAUUUCACAAAUUGCUCAGAUACAAAUUUUUAGUUUGUUAUUUUCUACAUGAACAAAUGAAAGAUAAAUGGAAAUGAUCUCUAAAUUCUUGUCUCAGUACAUUGAAGAGAGAGCAAGAACAUCAGGUUGCUAGAACUGAUGGCUGAAGGAACUCUGUUCAUCCCAAAUUUUCAGCCAGUUAUUUCAUUUCAUUUGAUCACCAUCCAUUUAGUUUUGUUAAAUGGAAGAAAACUCAUUGUUUAAUAUUAAUAUUAAUAAUAAAUAUUAUGGACAUUGACCAAUCAAUCAAACUUGGAUGGGCUCAGAGCAAGUAUUUGUGAACUGUGAGCAAAGAUUUCUAUGUCAUGCAGUGGAGGUGUACGUUCAUGGACUGGGAAUUUAGGCUUCUGCUAACAAGAUACCUCCAAUCCUUUUCUGCUCAGUGAUUCUUCCUGCUCAUGGAAAGUAGCGUGCUGUAGUGGGAUGGGGAGAGAGAGGAGAUAGUGCCCUGCAGAACUGGACACGGUGAGGAUGUGGAUCAAGACUCAGGAAUUAAGGAGUAUUCUUGUACUGCCACUUUAGCUGUAAUCAGAGAAUCUCUUUGAAAUCCUACUUUAAGUGAAAAAUUAAAGGUGUACAUUUGUGGAAGUAACUCCAAAUUCAAGGUUCUAAAGUAAAGAAAUGCAAAGUGGGCAGCAAAAUACAUGUGCCAGACACCUCAGACUGGAGUGACUAAAAAACACUUUCUAGCAAGUGCUGGGUGGGACUUUGCUGAUUUAGUGGGCUCCAGAUUGGAAACAAAGAAAUACCUACACCACAAAUGCCUUCCUUGUUGUGAAGGCUUCUUCAUAUCUAUUUCUCCUGUCCGUACAACAGUUGCAGCACUUAUUCAGUGGAACAGAAACAAAGACACUUAGAAGGUUUUCCAGACAUUUAAUCAACCAUCAUCUUCAUGGAAAGAUAGACAAGGUGUAAUUCUGAAUAAAUUCUUAGGAACAUGGACAGAGCUAAGAUCACUGUAAGGUUGCAUUAAUGAAAGGAUGUUUGAAUAUGGUCAUUGGCAGUGCACCUUUACUGACACUUCAUUCAGCACUAAAACUCCCACUGGGAGCAGCUAUGACAAAUAGACAUACAUGCAUACCACAGAUUAUACUGGGAAUCUUGGGUGCUCCUUUGAAUGGAGAGUGCCAAAAGGCAAAAGACCUCCAGAAGAGCUGACAUUCCGUAUUACACAUUUUUUUUCCAUAAAUCAUAUAUUCGCAAAGGCUCUUCUUCAGGUUGUUUUUGUUUCUUUUGUUUUUGUUUUUGUUUUAUCUUCUCCAUACUUUCAGUCCACAAAGAAAGAAGUAAAAAGAUAAUCCUGAACUCCAGUAUGGACUGCUUUGUUCAUGGUUCAGAUGAAUUCUCCUGCUUUAAGAACAAAAAUUUGAUGAAUUUCCUUAUACUGAAAAUGGUGAUGGUAACUGUUAGAUCAGUAAUGGCAAAAUGUUUAUCUAAACAAGUCCUAUAUUUCUGAUAUAAAAUGCCUCAAUGUGUGUCUGCAGAUUUAUAGAAGGGGGAGAAAGGGAAAGAUUGAGUCCAUGGUGAGAGAGGAAAAGAAAAUAAGGACCCUCUGCAUGAUGUUUGCAGUAAAUUUCUCAGGCAGCUGAUGUUUAUACCAGCACUGUUCCCAUCAGAUUAAGGCACGUAAUGUAGGGACAUAAUCACCCUUAACUUCCCCUCGUAAUCAAGGGGUAAAAGCAGUCACACUGAUAUCCUGUGAUGUGUGCUCUGAAUUCUGAAGCUCUAAACAGAGUAUUCUGUAGAAUUUCCUUACGCCACUAACUAUAGAGGAUUCUAUGGUUGACCAAUUUCACUAUAGACUGAGGCAAUUAUUUGUGCCAGAUGGGAAGCCAGCCCAUAGAUGUAUUGCUCUGCAACAGAGGCUUGUCUCCAUGUUCAAACUAAAAUGUUGCCUUACUGCUCCAUCAAGCACAGCAUGGAAUGGAAAUACACAGCAAAAUCUUCUGUCUUCAGCCCUAAGCUUUUCUGAAUGAUAAAGAUGAUAAAGAGCCUGGAGCAUCUCCCGUAUGAGGAAAGGCUGAGUAACAUGGGUCUGUUUAACCUAGGAAAAAGAAGACUUAGAAGGGAUCUGAUUAAUGUUUAUAAAUAUCUAAAGGGAGGUGGGAAGCAAAUGAAUGAGGCCAGGCUCUUCUUAGUGGUGCGUAGUGAUAGGACAAGGAGUAAUGGCCUAAAACCUGAGCAUAGGAAGUUCUGUACUAACAUGUGGAAGAACUUCUUUACAGUAAGAGUGAUAGAGCACUGGAUCAGGCUGCCCAGAGAAGUUGUGGAGUCUCUUUCUCCAGGGAUAUUCAGGGAUAUUCAAGAACUAUUUCAACGCCCACCUGUGUGACCUAUUGUAGGGAACCUGCCUUAGCAGGGGUUGGACUCUUUAGGUCUCUUCCAAUUCCUGCAAUUCUGUGAUUCUGUGGGUAGAGAUUAAAAAUAAGAUAUAACAUUAUGUAAGAGAACACAGGAUAGAACAAACUUUAAUAUCAAGGAGAGGAUUUUGAAAGACAUAAGUGAUGCUGAAACAAAAGUGCUGCUGAAGGUGUUGUGUGUCUUUCUGCUCUUUAUAACUCCAGAAAUGUUCUUUCUCUAUAGCAAAUCCCAACUAAUUGGUCAAUUGAUCAAAAUAUAUUUCUUUUUUCACAAAAAUGUCUUAACAAAACCAAUUUGUAGAAACUCGUCAAACAUUUAUAUGGGGUGAUGCUUAUGAGAAAGUGAAAAAUAUUUAUGUUUUCAGAUUUUCAAGGAAAUCUGAACUAUUUCCAUGAACUUUCAUUUCACUUUGCCUGCAGAAGUGUUUUUUAUUACGCUUUUCAUCAAAUGAAUGAACUGAAAAUGUGAUUAGCUAAUUUAUUCUGGUAAAGAAAUAAUCAUACAGCAAUGCAGCAUUUUGAAAUAUUUCUAUGAAGCAGAUGGAAUGUGUUUGGUUUUUUUCCAGCUCUUAUGAUGUUGUGCAAAUACGUUGUCCCUUUCUUGUUGACUGCAACCUUAUUAAAGUAAAUGCAAUAGGUGAUGUGGCAAGGAUGAGCCAUAAAAACGUGCCAGAGAGGAUGAAAUCUGCAUGCCUGAAGCCAGGUACAGUCACGUGCAAAUUAGCAUUGUCCACAUUAACCUUAAUUUCCCAAAAUAAAACAGAAGAAGGCCUUAGUUACAAUACUGUUACUGCUCUCUGUUGCCAAAUUUCUGCCCACAGUGUAGUUUUAUGGAGAAUUCUGUGAGUUCAGAAAAUAAGUUUUGUGGAAAAGCUGCCAAAAAGAGAGCCUGCCCAUACUAGUAUAAACAUUGUUCUUACUGCUAUACAAAACUGCUUUGUAUAGUGCUGGAGGCUACCUCGGUGAUUUCUGAGAUGGCACUGUCUUCAUUACAAAUGCUCUGAAGGCAGUAGUUGUAGUUUGUGUGGCUCAGUAGAAAUAGCAGUAACCUACAGCCUACUGAAAUUCUGUGGCUGACCAAGAGUGCAGUUAUUCUUUAAUUGACAGUGGAAGAGUUCAAAGGGAAACCAGAAGCAGUCUCAAAAAAGCAACGAAAUGCGGCACAUCUGGGAGUGUGUAUAAAUCCACACUGUGUAUGAAGCCAUGAUCCUCAAAACUAAGGUCUUGUCUUUAGCCAGUGUACACACACACACAGUGUAUGUAUAAGCACUAGUGGUGGCAACAGACAACCAUCAGCAGCUCAGACCAAAUAUCUGAAUUGUUCUGUUAUUAAGCUACUCUUAUAAAGAAAGAACUGUUUCAUCCUCCUCCUCCUCACCCUUCACGAUAUCAGCAUCCCAUCUGACACCAUCAAGGGUGUAAUUUCCUUCACUUCAGACACUUUGAAAAUUUAACUGAGAAUAAAUGUUAUCUCUUUCACUGGUUGUAUAAGCAACCACAGCAAUUAUAUAACUGCC